UGGUAGGAGGAUAACUACAGACUCCCUCAUAACUACUAAGGGGAAAGCCUUAUAAAUAGUGGUUCAGGGGAUCAAGAAAAGGUACGCACACAAAAUACGACACUCUUAUUCUCCCAUAAUCUAUUAUUUGCCAAAUUGACUUGAGCGUCGGAGUAACAAGUCGGAGUACAGUGGGAAAUUAAUCCCACUGUAUGCCUCGUUGCAAGUCGGAGUAACAACGGAGAGCUAGUCCCACUGUACGCCUCAUUACAGGUCGGCUCGCCCGCUCCUAUUUGGCACGCCCUGUUUGGUCCGUGCUCCAGGAGCAGGACAAGGACCGGACACGAUUAGGAAACGUUCUCUUCAAUCUUCGUCAACCAGGAAAACAAGAGCCAUAGUGGAGCUCCAGACCUUUGCAUUUAGCAAUUCCCAUUCUUGGACAUGAAGGGUAAAUUCCAACAUCUUUGUACAGAGAAAGAGUCGUUCAAUUCCCAGGGACAUGGCUUAUCAAAUCGAAGUAGCGGCCAUUCAAAUUGGACGACUUCUGGGCAAGUGGCCCAGCCAGCAUAUGACCAUCGGCAAUUGGGAAAUUUCUUUCUUCUUUGACGUUUGCUUGGUUUUUGGAUAUUUAACUGUGGUCUAUGAAAAUGAUAUGUAAAUGCUUGUGGUACUCUAUUUAUUGGUCCAAGUUUCGACACAUCAAUUUAUAGUCUAGACAUGGUAUAAAAUUUCCCAUCAAUUAGGU